rnacentral:lncRNA from 1 species
UUUUUUUUUUUCUUUUUUAUGUCUUUUGUCUUUUUAGGGCCACACCCACGGCAUAUGGAGAUUCCCAGGCUAGGGGUGGAAUCAGAGCUGUUGCUGCUGGCCUACACCACAGCCACAACAACGCCAGAUCCUUAACCCACUGAGCAAGGCCAGGAAUUGAACCCACAACCUCACAGUUCCUAGUUGGAUUUGUUUCUGCUGCGCCACGAUGGGAACCCCCAUUUAACUUAGCUAUUAAGGUUCCUAGCCCUACUGAAACCUCAUCUUUUCUUCUCUUGAUUUAACUCAAGGGUCACCUGCUCCUAGAAGCCUUCCAGGAUGCCUCAUACAUUCACACAUUCACUCACUCAAUUGCAGAGCACUGAACACCGUGGACAAAUGCCAGGCACUGAGAAUUAACCAUGAGCAAGGCUGAUGUGGUUCUUCCCUCAAAGAGCUGAAAUCCAGAGGAGACAGUCAACGGAGUACCGACAGGCCCUGGAGUAAGUGCCUCUUAAGGCAAGCAGAGGGCACUGUGGAAGCCAUGCUUGCAAACAGGAUCUCGAUGGAGAACACAGGUGGAGGGCAGGGAAAUCCUGAACAGGGAAGCUUUUACUCAAGACCUGCAGAAGGCGUGGGGAUUGCUCAGAUGAAGAGAAGCAAGAUUGUUCCAGAAACAUCGAGAUCUUUCGGUGAAACUCUGGAUAUAAGGGAGAGCCCCGAAGAAGAAAAGGAUGUUGGGUGUGGGUUGCAGAGAGAGAGAGAGUGGUGGGGAGAAGGCACAAGCAGCAGAGACCCAAUCUUAAACUGCUUGGUAAGCCUCCUACAGAAAGAAGUCUGAGCAAAAGCCUCAGGGUCAUAGAAGCGCAAGAGCGUACCUGGGAGCAGGGGCCUCCUUCGUAACUGCUAGAUCUCAUUCUAGUCCUCUCCCUGUUGGGCUUUAUCCUGCAGCCAGGAUGAAGCCCUUGAAGGGAUUUUAAAAGGAGAGGGGCCCUUUCCUGGCUCACGCUGGCUCAGCUUAGCUCAUGAACUGGAGGGAGGCAGUUAUUCAGGCAGUGGGGGCCCCUCACAUGGGCCCUCAGGACACACUGGCGUUCUCUCCAGCACACCCCUUAUGAUACCAGUUUUUAAUAGUUUCUUAAUUGGUUCACGUUCCACCAGAUUCUGAAUCUAGUCCAUAAGCAGUAACUCUUAUUAUUAUGACUAUUGUUAUUAAUACUUAUUGUUGAAACCCAGAUACGCAAAUGCGAUUGCUAUAGUUCCAUGCAGUACGUCGAUUCCCCGGAAUAUAAACUUUCUAAGAAAUAAUGCAGUUCCCACUGUGGUUCAGCAGUAAGCAACCCGACGAGUAUCCAUGAGGUUGCGGGUUCGAUCCCUAGUCCCACUCAGUAGGUUACAGAUGCAGCAUUGCCAUGAGCAGUGGUGUAAGUCCUAGAUUCAGCUGGUAUCUGGUGAUGCUGUGGCUGUGGUGUAGGCCGGUGGCUGUAGCUCGGAUUCGACUCCAAGCCUGGAAACUUCUAUAUGCCUAGAGUGCGGCCCAUAAAAAAAAAAAAAUUAAUUUAAAAAAUCAAACAUUCUAAGAAAUAUUAAGCAGUGUUUUGAGUAUUUGGAAGGAGGCCUGUAUUCCAAGAAGUUUGGGAAACAUUUGCUUAGAGAUAUUAAAGGGAGUCAGUAUACAGACACACAUUUCCAUACUCCCUCUGCUUAGAGGGCCCAGAGCGAUGAGCACACCCAGCACUCAAUUCUCCAAUAAAACAAACUAGGGCUUCUUGAAAAAAUGGUUCAUUCUAGAGCUGCGGCAGUGACUACAUAAGAUGAGCCUAGAAUACCAAGUAGUGUCAGAAAGUAAGGACGUGCUCAAACACACGUGCGUGCGUGCACACACACACACACACACACUGAUGGGGCAUGGAUCACAGGAGCCAACUGAGAGAGCUUCCGACAGCCAAAGGUAGAACAGUUUGAAGAAAGAGCUAAAUAACAUAGUGUUGGAUUAUAACCCAAAGUAUGAAGCCGAUAUCCACGAAUCCACUCUGAUAUAAAUCACUGAUUGAAUAAAUAAAUGGAAGAGAAGAAACAAAUCUCACAGGUGGAAGAAUUAUAAAGACUUUAUGGAGACGCUCCUCUUGCAAAGAGGUAGGGUAUAACUUCCCACCUCUUAAGCAUGGCCUGUGACUUGUUUCCAAAGAGAACGAGGGAAAAGCAGCAGAAUUUCACAGUGGAGAAAGACGGCAAACACUUCAGCCCAGGGAUCAAGCGUAACCACUUCACUAAGAUGCCAAAUUGAUACUCGGGACUUUCGAUAUAAAGUGAUGAGAACCACUCCAGCCGUCGUGAUCUGCUUCCCCAAAGCGAGCAUCUACCCACGAGAAAAACAACCAACUUACCCAAAGUGAGGGGCCUUCUGCCAAAUACCUGGCCAGUGCUCCGGAAAACUCUCAGUCAUCAAAACAAGAAAAGUCUGAGACACUGAGCCAAGAGGAGCCUAAGGAGACUGAGGACUAACUGGUACAUGGUACCUUUGGCGGAAGCCAGGAACGUUACAUAAAAACGAAAGGAAUCGGAACCAAGUAUGAAGUGUCACUAACAAUAAUGCAUUAAUAUCAAUUUAUUAGUUGUGACAAAAUAUCGCAUUAACAUCAGAUCUCAAUAACUGGAGAAAUGGGCAGAGGGUACGUGAGACUUCUCCAACCUCUCUGCGACCUUUAUGUAGAUCCAAAAAGUAUUCCAAAAAAUGUGACGGUCUAUUUUAAAAAAUUAAAUGGAUUCUGUAGUACCUGACUUCGCAGAUACUUUCAUAUAUGGAGCUACCUUAUGCAUCUUCCCAAACGAAUAUGACUUGGGAACUUAUCGUUGUUAUCCUCUUCUGGUCCCUUGUGUUCUCUAGAAUAGUUAGGAGUGAUGGUUAGAGGAGUGGCAAUAAUAAUAACUAACAUUUUAGAGAGGCUCUGAGUGGCACGGUUAAUAAUGUAGUCCCAUGGGCCAGACCGCCUGUUCGCAUAUUAGCAUCAGCACCUAAAACCUGGCCAGUCUUAGGGGAGUUGAUGUAAUGGUGGCUUGGCUUCCUUGGUCGUAAAAUGGGAUUAAUUAUGCUACUCCUCUCAUACGGUAAUUGGGUGAUUGCAGGGAAUUCAGUGUGUUCACGUCGAUGCCUGUGUGGCCAGUACCUAGUAAACAGCUCAACCCAAACCUCCUCCCCACUUCCCGAGGGCUUUCCGUGGGUCGUUUCUCCACAGUGCAAAUAUUACCCCCUGAGCACCAUUCCGCAGAGAGUAACUUGCCCCAGAUGUCACAGCCAGGGAACUGGAGAGUCAGAUCCAUCUGGGAGGAAGCCCAAGCCCUAAAGACAAGACUUAGGAUCGUGGGAAGAAGCGAUUCCUAGGACCCUGAGUAAUCAGACUCCAGGAGGGGCAAAGAAAUUCCAAGAGAAAAGAAAAAGAAUCUGAAAACUCAAGGACACAGCCUCAAACUAAUCUCGGUCUGCUCUGCAACUUUUUUUUUUUUGGCUUUUUGCUUUUUCUUGGGCUGCUCCCAUGGCGUAUGGAGGUUCCCAGGCUAGGGGUCUAAUUGGAGCUGUAGCUGCCGCCGCCACCACCGGCCUGCACCAGGGCCACAGCAAUCUGUGGGGUAGGCUGGCAGCUGUACCUCCAAUUCCAUCCCUAGCCUGGGAACUUCCAUUUGUUGCAGGUCUGUCCCUAAAAAGCAUAAACAAACAAACAAAAAAGCUUGGAAAAUGGAGUCUUGGGCUUUUAAACAUCUUUUUAAAUGGACCACCUUCUCCUGUGGAUUCUGAAUACUAUUCUCUAUACUUCCUGCUUAACAUUUGGCAUACGGGUAGGGUUGUCAGAAAAACAUGGGAUGCUGAGUUAAACUGGAAUUUCAGAGAAAUUGGGAAAUUUUUUUUAGUCAAAGUAUGUGCCAUGCAAUAUAUGAGAUACGCAUACACUAAAAAAGUAAUUGAUGUUUAUAUGAAAUUCGGUUUUAACUGGGCACCUUCUGUUUUUAUUUGAAAUCUGGCAACCCUACAUAUAGUAGAAAUUAUUGUCUCAGUGGCUUGCUUUGUUCAAAUAGCAUCAUACACAGAUGCCUGGUGUAUGGAUAAAUUAAAAUGGAAAGACCUCAGUCCAGAAGGGGAAGUGCUCAGACUGUCAGGGUUUAUAUUAGAGUGGCAGAGCUCAGAAAUGAACGGAAACUUUCCAAUCCGAAGAAACACGUCUCUUUACUUCCAUCAGGAGAAAUUGCAAAAACCUUCAAUAUGGGUGAAAAAGAUUCAGGAGUGUCCCAUCCAUUUGGGUCACCUGCCGCUUUGAGUUGCUCUACGGCUCUGUAAGUGAUGAAAAAUAAUCUAAAUUAUUUGUACCCAUAGAUGUGAGUUAGCCAUGUGAGGUUAAUUGUUGCUCUAUGGACAGACCUGGUUCAGCAUCUAUUUAUAAACAUUUAAGCAUUUCUUCAGUGGCAUAUAAACACGUCACUCUUGGAAUUCUCCUUUGACCUGGUUGUAACACUCUACUAGUUCCCUCAUUAACUAAUGAGUUAAAUUAAUCUUUGACAUUAGCAUUUGACGUAUGUAUUUUCUAUGUAUGAGUCAUUACUUCACCUUUAAUAAAAAAUUUUCCCUUGGCCGUUUGUCAUGCUUCUCUGGACAGUGAGCCUGGAAGGAAGUCUAAAUGCCGGUGGCACUUAAAAGAUUGUAAGGAUGCUGGCGAGUCGGGAGGUGACAUGGACAGCGUGGAGAGGAAGUGAAGAGGAUGCCUUUCUAAACAUAAAACUGCUGGUGGUAUUGCCUGUGGAAAACCCUCUCCUGACUUGAGAGACAUAGCCCUGAGGAUAAAAUCAAAACUGCCCACCCUGGGGGCUGGGCUCCUUGCAGGAUUUUCCCUUCCCCCACCCCCGUCUUGGGGCUCCCUCCAGCUCCCCUGUCUGCUCUCAUUCUUUUUUAGAUGGAUGCCCAUCCCACGGGCUCCCAGGAGCCCCCUGGACUUCACCACCAUAGCACUUUUCUCAUUGCGGUGCAAUUACUGCUGAAUUGUCUCUAGCCUGCAUUCGAUUGCACUUUGUGAAGGCAGGGACCAAAACCUGCUUUGGUUUGUUGACUUGUGUGUUCCCAACGCCACGCAGAGGGGCUUGGCUCAGAGCGGGACUCAAACAAAAAGAAACUGUUGAAUGAACAAAGGGUACUAGAUGCCUAAUAGAAUCACUAACACCCGUGGGAGAGGGAAGCUAAAGGAAUGAGAAUUCCAGCGAGUGCAAAGGCCAGCAGACUCACACUAACCAUAUACUCUUAAAGAAGCAUUUAGGGGGACACGUCACUAAGUCACCUGCCUCUCCAGGGACCGACUCACUCUCACCUGAUGCUUACUUCCAUCUAAGUGCAUAGACCUAAUUAUUACUUUAUUCCCAAUCACAGCAUAGUGAUUUUUAUUCCUCUUCAUAUGAAAUUGAAUUAUAGAAUUGGACACCUAAAAUCUCAAUGUUUUACAGUCUUUCUGAAAAACAAAAUAGAGGUUCUCUAUUUAAGAGGAAGAAAGAAAAAAAUAUAUUUUUGAAACACAACUGGCCACCAUCUGGGAAAAAAGUGAAUCUACAUGGGAAAAAAACGCUUCCAGGAAAAGUGAAAACUCCCCAGACCUUUUUAACGUGUUGUUCCAUCUCUUUCUCGAUUAAAAGCCCCCAUGGACUUUCAGGAUCCUGCCACGUCCCACAGUUCCCCAGAGACAACCUGAUUCCCGGCCCUCAAGCGCUGGUGGCGGUGGUUGCCACUUACGAAAGCCCUUCCCUUAACAGCCUGGCACAGCUGAAUGAGUGCUGGUGGGAGAGAUGUGCAUCUCAGCGAGCAUUAAGGGUGGCGCUUCCCUCUCUGCCACUGACCCCACCACCAACCACGCUUGUCUGCAGCCGGUCCAAGCUGAUUCCUCCUUGUGGAGAAAGGCAGUGAGACCGGAUGCGGCAGGCUCCAUUCCAUCCACACUUCUCUUCUGACAAGUUCUAGCCGGCCUCGGAGGGAUGGCAGCCACUACUGAAUGCCUAGUGGUCAACGGUCUUUAAACUAUUUGCUGUCCCUCGUAGAAACCAACAAAACCUGCUGGCAAAAUCGACACCCCUAACACCCCCGCCUCCCACCCCCACUAAACAGGCAAAGGCCAGGCUGGAGUCAGGAUGUGGCUUUGAGCCUUCUUGAGGGAGAACUCAGGACGGGGCGGAUGGCCCAAGGCAGAGGGGUGGGUGCCCAGGAUGGGAUCUGGGUGCACGGCCAGCUGAUGCCUCUUAGUGAAGAGCGGCAUCCCAUGUGACUCGAAGAGCCACCGUUCAAAAAUGAAGUUAAGGCUGUUUGAAGAGACGCAUUCAAAUACAAAAAUAAUUCUAGAAAAGAAUCAGAGGAGUUCCUGAUGUAGUUCAGCAGGUUAAGAACCCAACCUAGUGUCCAAGAGGACAUGGGUUCAAACCCUGGCCUCGCUCAGUGGGUUAAGGAUCUGGCGUUGCAGCAAGCUGCGGUGUAGGUUGGCUGCUAUAGUUCCAAUUGGACCCCUGGCCUGGGAACGUCUAUAGGCCACAGGUGUGGCCACUGGGAUGGAAAUGAUAUAAAGUUGGGUUGUGAUGAUUGUUGCACAACUAUAAAUGCACUAAAAUUUAUUGAGUAAUUAAAACAAAUCCAGCGGGAGUAAAGAAGAUUCUAUCCCAGACGUAUGUCUAAAUUACAGGCAAGCCAAUGAUGCCUCUUGUAUUAGUUCUUUAUGGCUAUGUGACAAAUUACCCCAACAUUUAAAACAAUAAACAUUUAUUAUCUCAAAAAAAAAAAGAAAGGAAAAGAAAGGAGAAGAACAAGAGCUGAAAUAUUUCGAGGGUUUGCCUCGUGCCAAGCACCGUGCUAAGUUCUUUCCAUGCAUUAUCUUACCUCCGCCCUGGCUGACUUGCGAGGCAGCAACCAUCUCCGUCCUCAUCUGAGAAAUGAAGACAAAGACACGAAGAUGUUCUGAAACCUCCCCAAGGUCUCCUGACAAGAUGGUGGCGGCAGUAGCGUUAAAUCAAACCAAAUGACAAGACCCAAAUUCAUAACAAUUAGGAUGCAGUGUUUGUUUGGAAAUUCGGUGCUAGGGUUUUAAUUUCUGCCAUCUCCUUUGUCUCCCGAUAAUGCUCUGAAGUAUUGGAUUCCCCCAAAAGGCAGAAGGGAGGAAGGAACUUGUUCUAGCCCACAUGGCUGGAAAAAUGAUGGGGUAGCUUUGAAGAGAGAUUUGCCCUUGCCAGCUGUCAGUGGAACUGCAAGGGACCUGGUUGGGGAGGUGGGGACGGAACUUUGGAAUUCACGCAAGAGUCUCUAAGUGCUGGUCUUAGCUCCUAACCACCAGCAACAUGAAUCCCCAGGCCAAGGUUUUAAGGGGAAAAUCCUUUGAGCUGAAGGAACCUGAAAUAGGACUGAUGAGUGCAUGCAUCCCUGAGAUUAAAGCUGAGUCAUAUGGACAGGAAGGAGCAGUCAUUGGGCUCCUGCACCACUGGCUCUGAAAAUAAAUACAUUUUGCAUCUCAUUGCUUAAAGGAAAAAUGGCAUAGGGCUGGCAUUGUAAGGAGAUGGUUUGAAGCAGGUCUAUCUCACUCUAAGGACCCUCCCUGUUGGACCACACCAGGCAUAACAGGAGUUACUGUGCACUGAGGAAUAUCACUUAGUCUUGAUUCCAAAAUCACUGACUGUCCUUCACUGUUGGUGGGAAUUUAAAUUGGUACAACCUCUAUGGAAAACAGUAUGGAGAUACCUCAGAAAACCAAAUAUAGAACUAUCAUAUGACCCAGCAA